UGGCCAGUCUUUAGGGGCAUCAGCCUGAAGAGACAGGCCCAACCAGCUCUGAAGGGCUUAGCACAGUGAGUGCUUAAUAAUGCCUGUGCACCAACUGUCAGAAAAAGUGUUCCAGAAGACCAAAGGUGAGGAAGUUGAGGCUCAGAAAAGCGAAGUGACUUGCUAAGAUCACACACUGGUAAGUGGCAGGAGAAGAAUUCGAACACAGAUAUUUCUAAUGCCUGUUUCAGCCCUUUCCCCAUUAU
rnacentral:lncRNA from 1 species